rnacentral:misc_RNA from 1 species
UAGUGGUGUUGAAGGAAUGCAGGUCAGUACAUGUUUUUGAUAGGAACUAUACAGGUGCUUAAUUGUUUUAUUGUCAUCACAUUUCAGAUCCAGAGCUCUAAUUUACAAUGACUAAAUAUUGGCUGUUGCAAAUAUUUCUUGUUGAGUACAUAGGUCCAAGUUCCAUAUAGGCCUGUAAUACCUGUUCUCUCUUUCUUAUAUCAUUAUUUUGCAGAAAGUGGGUCUGCUAUAAUCGUUUAACCAUGGGUCACAGUUGAAGCAUUUUUAAUUAUCGUUCAACUCAUGGGUCUCAGUUGAAAGUUAGCUGAUGGUAAUAUCUUUGGCUGCAGGCUGUGAUGGCAAGUGAUUUUGCAAUAGCUCAAUUCUAUUUUCUGGAACGUUUGUUGCUGGUACAUGGCCACUGGUGUUACAGGCGAAUAUCAAUGAUGGUAAAACUGUGUUUUCCUGUGUUAUUCCCAUCUCUCUAGAAAUGAAUGAUAACAGUUUGGAAAUAUGGAAAUCACCUUUGGCAUUUAGCAUCUUUGAAAUAAUUUUUUUAUGACUUUAUAAUACUGCAAAUGAAGGCAAGGGAAGAUUCACCGAUUUUCUCUCUUGCUUACUCUGCACAUCUGCUUUUCAUGAUGCAAUUAGUGCUUUAUGAUGCGUAUCAUCUGUGGUUUUUCUGUUCCUUUUCAACAGAAUAUAAUCGUUUCGAAAAACAAAGCAAAAAGAAAAGGAAAUGUGAUCAUUUUCUUCUCUGUUACACGUGGAAUGAUGGUAAACUAUUGGUUAACAUGAAAUUGAACUAAAUACUUGCAUUGUUAUUUCUUUGGUGAAUGUAGAUAUGCUACUUCUUCUACAAGAAUCUCACAUUCGGAUUUACUUUAUUUUGGUUUGAGGCCUACACUUCUUUUUCUGGCCAGCCUGCAUAUAAUGAUUGGUACAUGUCAUUCUACAAUGUCUUCUUCACUUCACUUCCUGUAAUUGCUCUCGGUGUUUUCGAUCAGGAUGUCUCUGCGAGACUUUGCCUUAAGUAUCCAUUAUUAUAUCAAGAGGGAGUACAAAACAUCCUCUUCAGCUGGCCUCGUAUUCUUGGUUGGAUGUGUAAUGCAGUCCUUAGUUCCAUAAUUAUCUUCUUCUUCACCACCAACUCCAUGAUUAAUCAGGCUUUCCGGCGAGAUGGUCAAGUGGUUGACUACGGGAUCCUCGGGGCCACAAUGUAUACAUGCGUAGUGUGGACUGUAAAUUGCCAAAUGGCAUUGUCCAUCAACUACUUCACUUGGAUCCAGCACUUCUUCAUCUGGGGAAGCACAGCCUUCUGGUACAUAUUUUUGGUGAUAUAUGGUUCCAUUUCACCUAUUGUAUCUACAACAGCACAUAGAGUUCUUGUGGAAGCCUGUUCUCCAAGCCCUCUCUACUGGCUUGUCACUCUUCUUGUUGUCAUUGCCACCCUGCUACCAUACUUUUCCUACAGGGCAUUUCAGUCUCGAUUCCGACCAAUGUACCACGACAUAAUACAGAUCCACCGCAGAUCAGAAGGCGCAGAAACUGAAAUUUCAGGCGAGUUGCCAACUUCUGUCUGGAGGAAAAUACAUCAACUCAAGGAAAAACUAGAGCAGAGGAACCAAUAAAAAGCACCUGUAUAUUGACCUAUAUGAGUUUAGGGUGUGUUAGUGCAGGGCUUAUUGAUCAUUUUCUUGUACAUUGGCAGAUUAGCAGUGUAAAUUUGAUAAUGUCAAUAUUGUUUCAGCAUGGGAAGGUGGUUUAGCAAACAAGAAUAAAUCUUAUUCGACUGGAUAGCGUGGAUAGUAAAA